UGAGCUUUAAAAAUAAACUUGCCUGUAAUCAGCUGAGAGGUGGAAAUUUUGUGGCUUUUGUGUUAUUUUUAGUCCUUAAGCAAAUUUCCUCUCGGAGUGACAUGGGGUUUAAGGUUCACUGUGAUACUCAAUGAAAAAAAUUCCCACAAGCUCUUUGUCCAGUCAAUGCUCAGGAUGGACAGCAGGAAGGAACGGGAGUGUAAGCUGAAAGUUGCUGAGUCGCAUCCCAGUGGUCCUGACUGGAGAGUCACUUUUGCAAGUCAGUAUCCUGAAAAGGUGUCUGCUCUGCACUGGCAGCCAGCUGCUGAAUCCGAUUUUCUUCGCUAAACCCAACGGCAGGACCGCUUACGAGGCACUUUAUUUAAAGAACCGGGAUCCGAACCCCUGAUUUCGGAGGGAUUUCCCUGAGCUGCAAUGACGACGUAAGCUUCUCAGGCCGACACGUCCUCCUGACACCACGAGGCGCUCGCUUGAAACCGCUUAGUCAGAGAGAGAGAUGAGGCCGGACAGCUGUAAAGAUGAUGUGCCGUGGCCGGAUUUACAACCCCCCCCCUUCUUUGUUCCUGACAGUGCUCCAUUACACCUCUGUCAUUCUUCACUGCUGGCUGCUGUUGGUCCUCCUGCGUGUGGCUUCAUUCGCUCGUCCCUCCCAUCACAGUUCGCAGCGGGAGAACCUCAGGAAGAUCUACCAUCAAAUGCAAAUGCUCAAGAUGCUGGCGCCGGGUUCACUGAGCCGAGAGGAUCUGUCAACGAACUACGAGCACAACCUUGCUUCCCUGCCCAGCAUGCACUACAGAGCGAGCGACAUGAUGACCCUUCAGCUGAACCGGACUCUGCUGCAUCUAUUCUCCGGCCUGCAGUCCUUCAAGUUCCACCUGGACUGGCUGAGGGAGGGCUACCACAACUCUUCCCAGCCGGUCGGGCACAGGACUGAGCAGAUCCUCAGUCUCCUGACAGUCAUCAGUAACCUGGUAAAGUCGCAGAUGGAAGACCCGCCGUCCUGGUCACACCAUCCGUCUCUACCAGCCCUGCACAGUGCGUGGGAUUUGCAUGUUUCCUCCGUGGUGAUCCACCAGCAACUGCAGCUCUUCUGCAACUGGUCGCUCCACACACUGUACUCCCUGCUGCGCAAAGCCGUGCCGUAAAAACCACGAGGUACUUUCCCGCUGGAAUGGGAAGAGCGCAAACCUGCUACCACACAUUCCACUUCUCUUGUCAUAUUGGUCAUAUUUAUAACUUUUUUUCCCGAUAUUUAUACUUUAUGUAAUAACGUAUGCGUAUUUAUAAGUGGGAGGAGUAUGUUUACAUUCAUAUUUAUUCUUGCACUGGGACAAAAGACCUUGAGCCAGGCUGUGAGGUCAUUAAACUGGUUCGAUGGAAUUGAAUGGUUUACGCCAUUUCGCAUAUGGCUUCUGGUGAAGCUACUUUAUCCGAAGUGUCCAUAAUUGUAUGUGUGUAUGAAACUACUAAUUAUACAUGUAAAUCUUCAGUGUUAUUUCUUCUACACGUCAUGUGUGACUGAAGGACUUGCCAGAAGGCUGCUGUGAUGAGUUCUGACCACCAGAUGCUGCUCUGCCAUCAGGUAGCACUGGUUCUAAAAUCAGUAUUAUAGGACGUGGGGAAGGAAGAAAAGGGCGGAGAUGGUGCCUGUACUGUUAUAAUAAGGAUAAUUUAACAGACAUUCAAUAGCUCUACUGCAUUAAAUUCACUGCAGGGUGUAAUAAUGGGAACUGGACAGGGGCAGCUAUGGCGGGAAUCAAUGCAAAGGUACACUGAUUGAGAUCUGUUAGUGUCAAGGUGUGUUCAGAUGAAUUGCCUUAUGGUGAAUCUAUUGAAUAAUAUGUUUUUAUAUCUUAUUUUACUGAAGUCUGUAACUGUAUGUAAACAGUUAAAUGUAUAUAACCAUGAACCCUUAUUCGUUUGAUACACUGUGAUUAACCAAAAGAAAAAAGAAAAUUUGAAAAUGCAGCGUUCAAAAUGCCAAACAAUGAGUUUGUUACUCAUAGAUCGGAACCUUAAGGAGACUGUGUUAAAACCACAGGGGAAUGAAAAUGCUCAAUGUGACAAUAACAUUUUUUUUAUUCCUUGGCCUUUUUUUUAGGUUUUGUAGUUUGAUCAGCACCACUG
ensembl:lncRNA uncharacterized LOC114770123